rnacentral:rRNA from 1 species
UUGAACGCUGGCGGCAGGCCUAACACAUGCAAGUCGAGCGGUAGCACAGAGAGCUUGCUCUCGGGUGACGAGCGGCGGACGGGUGAGUAAUGUCUGGGAAACUGCCUGAUGGAGGGGGAUAACUACUGGAAACGGUAGCUAAUACCGCAUAAUGUCGCAAGACCAAAGUGGGGGACCUUCGGGCCUCAUGCCAUCAGAUGUGCCCAGAUGGGAUUAGCUAGUAGGUGGGGUAACGGCUCACCUAGGCGACGAUCCCUAGCUGGUCUGAGAGGAUGACCAGCCACACUGGAACUGAGACACGGUCCAGACUCCUACGGGAGGCAGCAGUGGGGAAUAUUGCACAAUGGGCGCAAGCCUGAUGCAGCCAUGCCGCGUGUGUGAAGAAGGCCUUCGGGUUGUAAAGCACUUUCAGCGGGGAGGAAGGCGUUAAGGUUAAUAACCUUGGCGAUUGACGUUACCCGCAGAAGAAGCACCGGCUAACUCCGUGCCAGCAGCCGCGGUAAUACGGAGGGUGCAAGCGUUAAUCGGAAUUACUGGGCGUAAAGCGCACGCAGGCGGUCUGUCAAGUCGGAUGUGAAAUCCCCGGGCUCAACCUGGGAACUGCAUUCGAAACUGGCAGGCUAGAGUCUUGUAGAGGGGGGUAGAAUUCCAGGUGUAGCGGUGAAAUGCGUAGAGAUCUGGAGGAAUACCGGUGGCGAAGGCGGCCCCCUGGACAAAGACUGACGCUCAGGUGCGAAAGCGUGGGGAGCAAACAGGAUUAGAUACCCUGGUAGUCCACGCCGUAAACGAUGUCGAUUUGGAGGUUGUGCCCUUGAGGCGUGGCUUCCGGAGCUAACGCGUUAAAUUGACCGCCUAGGGAGUACGGCCGCAAGGUUAAAACUCAAAUGAAUUGACGGGGGCCCGCACAAGCGGUGGAGCAUGUGGUUUAAUUCGAUGCAACGCGAAGAACCUUACCUGGUCUUGACAUCCACAGAACUUUCCAGAGAUGGAUUGGUGCCUUCGGGAACUGUGAGACAGGUGCUGCAUGGCUGUCGUCAGCUCGUGUUGUGAAAUGUUGGGUUAAGUCCCGCAACGAGCGCAACCCUUAUCCUUUGUUGCCAGCGGUCCGGCCGGGAACUCAAAGGAGACUGCCAGUGAUAAACUGGAGGAAGGUGGGGAUGACGUCAAGUCAUCAUGGCCCUUACGACCAGGGCUACACACGUGCUACAAUGGCAUAUACAAAGAGAAGCGACCUCGCGAGAGCAAGCGGACCUCAUAAAGUAUGUCGUAGUCCGGAUUGGAGUCUGCAACUCGACUCCAUGAAGUCGGAAUCGCUAGUAAUCGUAGAUCAGAAUGCUACGGUGAAUACGUUCCCGGGCCUUGUACACACCGCCCGUCACACCAUGGGAGUGGGUUGCAAAAGAAGUAGGUAGCUUAACCUUCGGGAGGGCGCUUACCACUUUGUGAUUCAUGACUGGGGUG